GAUGAAGAACGCAGCGAAAUGCGAUAAGUAGUGUGAAUUGCAGAAUUCAGUGAAUCAUCGAAUCUUUGAACGCACAUUGCGCCCCUUGGUAUCCCGAGGGGCAUGCCUGUCCGAGCGUCAUUUCACCACUCAAGCCUGGCUUGGUGUUGGGCGACGUCCUCUUUGGGGACGCGCCUCGAAACGCUCGGCGGCGUGGCACCGGCUUUAAGCGUAGCAGAAUCUUUCGCUUUGGAAGUCGGGGCCCCGUCUGCCGGAAGACCUGCUCGCAAGGUUGACCUCGGAUCAGGCAGGGAUACCCGCUGAACUUAAGCAUAUCAAUAAGCGGAGGA
rnacentral:misc_RNA from 1 species